CCUACGGGUGACUGCAGUGGGGGAUAUUGCACAAUGGGGGAAACCCUGAUGCAGCGACGCCGCGUGGGUGAAGACGCGCCUCGGCGCGUAAAACCCUGUCAGCAGGGGAGAAAAUGACGGUACCUGAAGAAGAAGCCCGGGCUAACUACGUGCCAGCAGCCGCGGUAAUAGGUAGGGGCCAAGCGUUAUCCGGAUUUACUGGGUGUAAAGGGGUCGCAGGCGGGGAUGCAAGCCAGGAGUGAAAGCCCGGGGCCCAACCCCGGGCCUGCUCUUGGAACUGGGUGGCUAGAGUGCAGGAGGGGCAUGCGGAAUUCGUGGUGUAGCGGUGAAAUGCGUAGAUAUCAGGAGGAACACCGGUGGCGAAGGCGGCCUGCUGGACUGCAACUGACGUUGAGGCCCGAAAGCGUGGGUAGCAAACAGGAUUAGAUACCCGGGUAGUC
rnacentral:rRNA from 1 species